UCCACAUUUCAAACUUUUCAUCGGUUCAUUCGCGAGGCUAAAUAUCUAUACUUGUACAAAUUUUGUAAAAAUUUUACAAGUUUACGUCCGAGUGUGGUGGAUUACUUCCUAUAUAUAAACAUCUUUGGCAUAAACGAGAGUGACGCCUGAUUCUGGUCAUGUAUAAUGCAAAUCGACUAUGCUAUUCCGACUAGUCUCGCAUCGCGCGGUGUGUGCUUUCUUGGAUUGUUUAGGCGUUUGAUUGCUUUUCCCAGUAUACGUCCUGGGUGGGUGGUCAAAUAGUCGACGGUUCUUCAGAAAGUCAUCGUAACGAUUUGUUGUCGUUACUUUCAUCGUAUGCGUGCAUGAGUGGUUUUUGGUUUGUUACGGGUGGUUGGCUCUUUGCUUGCGCAACAACUUCCACCUGGCUUACCUCUUCAGUUGUCUGCCAAGGCUGUAUUGUCUUGGUUGAUUGUGGGUUUCCUGUGUUGCCUACCUAAGUAAUGGCAUUGUGUUGGUUGAUCGUGGUCCCUUUUCUUCUAGUGUCAUAUCAUGACAUUUGAUGAACCCCAAAGCGGUCUCUUUGGUCCACCUUGUCAAUAAAUUGUUGAUUUUGUGGUUCAUUGAGCAUCGCUUGGUCUCUUGGAUACAGAACAUUAUGUGAGCAUGGGGUCUCAUGUGUUCCUUGUUUCGCUUUCACUCAGCUGAUCGCUUCCCCUAAAAGGAUUGCCUCGCCCAGAAUGUGCACCGUUCCCCUGGGGUGGUAUGAUUUCGGGAAAUGCUCCCUGUUUGAUGUGUUCAUGGUCUCUUAUGUGAUCCCUACUUUGCUCUUAUUUAGCGUUCGCGCUUCUCUUGAAAUGACGGCCUCACCCGCCAAGGCUCGUACUAGCGGUUGAGGCCAUGUCAAAGAGGAUUGCUACCUGGUUGAUCCUGCCAGUAGUCAUAUGCUUGUCUCAAAGAUUAAGCCAU
rnacentral:misc_RNA from 1 species